GUCUACAUGCUAUCUUUAAAUGACCCAUUUUGCUGUGGCAUGAAGUCUGAUGCAAGCUAAUUCCCUGUACCAGGAACUGUCAUGCUAGUUCUGUCAUGUGCACACAGGACUCUAACUUCCUGCUUGGUGAUGGCUGACCAGCGACAUCUUCUAGACAUUUCUGUGUCUAGUAGAAUUUAGUAGAAUUCCAGCUACCUUGUGCUGAAGUGCUAAAAAUCUGAGUGAGCUGAAAUGUCUCUGCACCUGCCUUUCAUCUCUAGUCUGCUGAGACUGAUGGCCUAAGCAUGUUCUGAUUCAUCUUGCCUGUCAGGCAACCCUGUCAACAUACAUAACAUGGACAAAGGAUGGCAAGCCUCUGGAGGGUAAGAAACAACCCAUCUACUUCUGAGUAACUACAAUAUCAUCUUAAGGACAUUAAAGAGCUCCCAGGAAGGAGAAGCGGAUUUCUGAUUCCCUGAAGACAAAUGAACAUAUGGAGCCUGAAGCGUAUUUUUAAGUGAAGGUAGUGAGAGAUGCAGGAAAGUCAGAGACUGUAGCUUUGAAGGCUGUGGGGAGGAGGAGGAUCUUCACACAACUGCAAGCAGACCCAGACUGCUCAAAGGUUGUGGAAAGAUUUUCCAAGAAACACAAAAUUGUUUGGAAUAUAUAGUGUUCAGCCCAUAUUAAUCUAACUUUUGGACACCCUGUAUUCUCCCAGAUUAUCUAUCAAGUCCUCUAAACAGAGUGGGAGGGUAAAUAGUGCCCAUGACUAGAAACCCCAAGAUUGAUCUGGUACAUAACUGAAUAAAUCCUUACCAUAGCAAAAAGAGUGGAAACAUUCCAGCUCUUAUUCUGCUUCAAAUUAUUUAAAAAAAAAUAAUAUGAAA